rnacentral:rRNA from 1 species
CACGUAGGGCGCAAGCGUUGUCCGGAAUUAUUGGGCGUAAAGAGCUCGUAGGCGGUCUGUUGCGUCCGCUGUGAAAACUCGGGGCUUAACCCCGAGCCUGCAGUGGAUACGGGCAGACUAGAGGUAGGUAGGGGGAGAAUGGAAUUCCCGGUGUAGCGGUGAAAUGCGCAGAUAUCAGGAGGAACACCGGUGGCGAAGGCGGGGUCUCUGGGCAGUAACUGACGCUGAGGAGCGAAAAGCAUGGGGUAGCGAACAGG